CCUUUUAAAAAGUAUGUGUGCCUGUGUGCGCAUGCGCCUGUGCAUUCGGCACGCUGUGCCCACAGAUCAGCGCAAAGAGGGCUUUCCAGAGGAUCUUUUUCUUAAUGUAGUGUCAGAUCUUAAAAUAAGAUUUAAGGGCUGGGAAGUCUGAUUGAGUGGGACUGAGAUGUGAUUUCUAGUAGUAGCACUCACUAGAACGGGGAGAACAGAAAAUGCUGUUUCUAUGUGUGGGAGGUCGGACAUUUUGGACAGACAUAUUUUAAUUCAGCCUUUUCUUUUGAAAUCAAGUCUACGCCGUAGCUACCUUGAGAUGUGUAGUUGCUUAUUCUGUUUAAUGGAUUGUUCAUCCUCUCUGUCCUUGAGAUAAUCCUAAGCAUGUGCAUAAAACUGAGAUCCUGUUGCUCAUAAAAACCAAUCAGCCCGCAGUUGGUCCACAAGGUGUUGAGCACUCGCUGGAGCAGAUGGGAAAGAUAAUGUUUAAUAAAGAGUUAGAGGAUUAGGUGGUACAAAACAAGCAAAGAGAAAGGGAUAAUUUGAUUUCAGGUGAACCUCUGUGACAUUUCUUGUACCCAGAGACAGAUUAAAAUGAUUCCAAAGCCAUGACUUUUGGCUCCUCUUCCCCAGGGCCGACCCGGCUGCAUACAUUGUCAGCUUUUGACUCUGCUGGCAUGACCAUCACCGGAAUCUGUGAAUAACACAGAAGAGAGUUUCUCAGGUUUAUGAAGAUGUAUGAAAAGUUAAAUGAAAAACGGAUUGCGGAUUACAGCCUAAGCGGGUUUGAGCCUGAAUUUAAUAUAACAACUUGUGGCAAAUGGAAGGAGCGGGAAGGUAGCGCCGACUAGUCCGAAGUCCUCUGGAGAGAAAUUCAGUGUCCAGAUGUUUCAGAAUCCAGAUGGCCUAUGAAUCCUCUAUCACCCAGAAAGGAGGAAAAUGUGCAUGAAAGCGGAAGAUUGAAAAGAAAAAAAAUAAUUUAGGUGAUGUAAUGGCAGCAUACUGGGCUUAAGGAAAAGCUUCCCCUCCUAAAGCAGCAACUUAAUAAAAUGCAUGUUACAGUCUCUAUCAGCAAGCCAGAUUUUCAGCCUUGCCUCUUUUUUCCAUCACCAUUAAGAGGCUUGCAGAGAUCCACACUGUUUAAAGGGCA
rnacentral:lncRNA from 1 species